GGGGAUGUGCGGAUCGACGGAGAAGUUCUUUUAAAGACAGCAAGUCGAGAAUGAUACCUCUCGUUAAACGUAUCAAAAAUUAAACGUCAAUAAAAACGACGGUACUAAUAACUACGCUUACGCGUACGCUUAAUAGUUGUCCAUUUUAUCUUUUCUUGGUGAGAUAAUUUGGGCAUAAACAUAGCCAAGAUGCUGUUUUGACUGAUCGGCUAGUCGGUCAAAACGAAGCUUAAUUAGUCUGGCCUCAACUUUCCGGUUACCAGGAUCAGGUUAAGGCAAGAUUCAAAAGGUAACUAAGCUUGUAGAAGUCUUUUAAAACUUUUUUCGGACCCCGCUUCACCGCGGGCAUCUCCACAA
rnacentral:tmRNA from 1 species